AGUGAACGCUGGCGGCAGGCCUAACACAUGCAAGUCGAACGCGAAAGUUUCCUUCGGGGAACAAGUAGAGUGGCGCACGGGUGAGUAACACGUAGGUAAUCUACCUUUGGAUGGGGAAUAACAACCGGAAACGGUUGCUAAUACCGCAUAAUGCAGCGGCACCUAAUGGUGACAGUUGUUAAAGCGGGGGAUCGAAAGACCUCGCGUCUGAAGAGGAGCCUGCGGCGAUUAGCUAGNGGUAAGGUAAUGGCUUACCAAGGCGACGAUCCGUAACCGGCCUGAGAGGGCGGUCGGUCACACUGACACUGACAUACGGGUCAGACUCCUACGGGAGGCAGCAGUCGGGAAUUUUGGGCAAUGGGCGAAAGCCUGACCCAGCAACGCCGCGU
rnacentral:rRNA from 1 species